rnacentral:rRNA from 1 species
UNUGGCUUAACUGGGGGCUUGCGGUGGGUACGGGCCGGCUNGAGUGCGGUAGGGGAGACUGGAACUCCUGGUGUAGCGGUGGAAUGCGCAGAUAUCAGGAAGAACACCGGUGGCGAAGGCGGGUCUCUGGGCCGUUACUGACGCUGAGGAGCGAAAGCGUGGGGAGCGAACAGGAUUAGAUACCCUGGUAGUNCACGCCGUAAACGUUGGGCACUAGGUGUGGGGGGCCUUUUCCGGGUCUUCCGCGCCGUAGCUAACGCAUUAAGUGCCCCGCCUGGGGAGUACGGCCGCAGGGCUAAAACUCAAAGGAAUUGACGGGGGCCCGCACAAGCGGCGGAGCAUGCGGAUUAAUUCGAUGCAACGCGAAGAACCUUACCAAGGCUUGACAUGUGCCGGUCGGCUCCGGAGACGGGGCUUCCUCCUUGUGGGGCCGGUUCACAGGUGGUGCAUGGUUGUCGUCAGCUCGUGUCGUGAGAUGUUGGGUUAAGUCCCGCAACGAGCGCAACCCUUGUCCCGUGUUGCCAGCACGUUGUGGUGGGGACUCGCGGGAGACUGCCGGGGUCAACUCGGAGGAAGGUGGGGAUGACGUCAAAUCAUCAUGCCCCUUAUGUCUUGGGCUUCACGCAUGCUACAAUGGCCGGUACAGAGGGCUGCGAUACCGUGAGGUGGAGCGAAUCCCUUAAAGCCGGUCUCAGUUCGGAUCGGUGUCUGCAACUCGACACCGUGAAGUUGGAGUCGCUAGUAAUCGCAGAUCAGCAACGCUGCGGUGAAUACGUUCUCGGGCCUUGUACACACCGCCCGUCACGUCAUGAAAGUCGGCAACACCCGAAGCCCGUGGCCCUACGGGGAGCGGU